rnacentral:rRNA from 1 species
UAUUUAAAGGAUUUGGCGGUAUUUAAGUCUAGUUAGAGGAGCCUGCUUCUUAAAACGACAGUCCACGAAGUAUCUUAUUUCUUUUUGUUUAAACAGUUUGUAUACCUCCAUUAUUAGGUAUAGUUUAAAAAAUUUUAUUUAAAGUUGUAUUUCAAAAUAUAUUAGGUCAAGGUGCAGCCUAUGAAGAAAUUGAUUGUGGGUUACAUUGUUAUUUAAAAUUCGAAUAAAGAGUUGAAAUUUUCUUUUGAAGUUGGAUUUAAUUGUAAUUUUUAUUUAAUAUGUAAAAUUG